AGAAUCAACGCUGGCGGCGUGCCUAACACAUGCAAGUCGAACGAGAAAGGGAUUUCGGUCCUGAGUAUAGUGGCGCACGGGUGAGUAACACGUGACUAACCUACCCUUGAGUGGGGGAUAACCUAGAGAAAAUCUGGGCUAAUACCGCAUAAUACCUUCGGGUCAAAGGAGCAAUUCGCUUAAGGAGGGGUCGCGGCCGAUUAGUUAGUUGGCGGGGUAAUGGCCCACAAGACUAUGAUCGGUAU
rnacentral:rRNA from 1 species